CAGCACCUCAAGUGGUCAGGAUGAUUAUUGGGCCUAAAGCAUCCGUAGCCGGCGCUGUAAGUUUUCGGUUAAAUCUGUACGCUCAACGUACAGGCUGCCGGGAAUACUGCAGCGCUAGGGAGUGGGAGAGGUAGACGGUACUCGGUAGGUAGGGGUAAAAUCCUUUGAUCUAUUGAUGACCACCUGUGGCGAAGGCGGUCUACCAGAACACGUCCGACGGUGAGGGAUGAAAGCUAGGGGAGCAAAACGGAUUAGAUACCCGAGUAGUCC
rnacentral:rRNA from 1 species